GUGGGGACAUCCUCAUGGAGAGGGAGUCAGGGAGGAGGUAUGGGGUGUGGAACACUUGGAGGAUGGACCAUGAGGGGGAAAAUAUCUGGAAAAUAAGUAAAAUGAAAAAAAAAAAAAAACACUAGGCGAAAUCAAGUUAAAAAAAAUAGAAAAAAAAAAGAAAAAGACAUUCAUCUAUUCACUAAAUCUCCAUGUCUUUUGUGUUUCCCUGAAAUAAUGGUGCCUUUCGAGAGUCACAGAAAUAAUUGGUUUCUAGUUGUGGUGAUAAUUCCUUUUGGCUCUGUGGGAUGUUGACCCUUGUAGCUUACUGUUGUUUAUUACUUUGCUGUAUAGUACAUAAUCUACAGUGAAGAUUCAUCUUCUACCUGAAUAGUCUGUGAAAACCCUGACUCCCAACAUUUGUUUUUCUGUUUAGAAAUGACUGCAUUACUUGUGUAAAUAUCUUGUUGAGCAUUUGAUCCUACAACGUUUUAAUUAACAGUGAAUGAGAAUGGACUGAUCCAUGACUGAAGAUGUUGGAAGAAGUCAACAAUUUUGUCAGUCAUCUUUGUACUGCAGACUACUUUCUCAGUUAGCAAUGGCCACAGAUGGAAAGGGAGGAGGGCAAAAUACUGUGUUUCAGUGACUCUACCUAGAAGUUACUUUUCAUUCUCAGGAAAUUCUCUGUGGCUGGAAGUAUUUUGGUAAAACUGUGAUCUUCUUUUUCUCAGUAUCAUUGAACAAUGAUCCUGCUGAAUGAUUCUUCAAUGCAUGGGACAGACACCUUUCAAAUCUCUUCGAUUCCAGUGUCAUUUCUUUGAAUAUUGAGAAAGAUUUACUAGACCCUAGUUUAACAAACUUGUUUAUAAAAUCCUAAAAAAAAAUCUCAAUUUAUAUUUUUAUGACUUUUAACAAUAAAGACAUUAAUUGUCAUCAUAUACUUUCGAUUUGCCACUGGUGUUUGUUUCAUCCAAUUUAGAUGUUCUCAAGAUCUAGCUUGUUUCAUCUUAUGUAUGCAGUUGGUCUCUCUAAAUUUGUAUAGUCUACACACCAGGGCAAGUGAAACAUAUUUUGAUUCAUUUAAAAAAUGUCUGGAGCAGCUACUACUUUGACAUUAAAUGUACGGUGGUAAAAAUUUACAUUUCCUGUACACAAAUUUCUAUCUUCAGGAGAUGAAACAGAUGACAUAUUUAAGUAUAAUAAACUACGAAACAAGUUUUGCUUCAGGUACAACAUAUACCAUAAAAGCCAAGUAUAGAACAAUAGGUACCAAAUGUCUCUAUGUUCAUCUUCUUCAGCACUUG
rnacentral:lncRNA from 1 species